CCCUGGUUAGCUGUGUUGGUAGAGCAUUUAACUGGAAAUGGAGAGGUCCCGGGUUCGAUACCCGGACCUGGCG
rfam:Ixodes scapularis strain Wikel colony gcontig_1107728618564, whole genome shotgun sequence.